UUGUGGUUAAAAAGCUCGUAGUUGGAUCUCAACAGCCUUGAAGCGGUUAACUUUGUAGUUUUACUGCUUUAUAGGCUGUGCUUUUGCUGGAGGUUUAGGGGUGCUCUUGAUCGAGUGUCUCUGGAUGCCAGCAGGUUUACUUUGAAAAAAUUAGAGUGCUCAAAGCAGGCUAAAAUGCCUGAAUAUUCGUGCAUGGAAUAAUAGAAUAGGAUGUCGAUCCUAUUUUGUUGGUUUUCGGGACUCGACAUAAUGAUAAAUGGGGACAGUCGGGGGCAUUUGUAUUCAAACGACAGAGGUGAAAUUCUUGGACCGUUUGAAGACAAACUACUGCGAAAGCAUUUGCCAAGAAUGUUUUCAUUAAUCAAGAACGAAAGUUAGAGGUUCGAAGGCGAUUAGAUACCGCCCUAGUUCUAACCAUAAACGAUGCCAGCUAGCGAUCUGCCUGCGUUUUUACUGUAGACUGGGCAGGAAGCUUCCGGGAAACCAAAGCAUUUGGGUUCCAGGGGAAGUAUGGUUGCAAAGCUGAAACUUAAAGGAAUUGACGGAAGGGCACCACCAGGAGUGGAGCCUGUGGCUUAAUUUGACUCAACACGGGAAAUCUCACCAGGCCCGGACACUGGAAGGAUUGACAGAU
rnacentral:rRNA from 1 species